rnacentral:rRNA from 1 species
UACGUAGGGGGCAAGCGUUAUCCGGAUUUACUGGGUGUAAAGGGAGCGUAGACGGCGAAGCAAGUCUGGUGUGAAAACCCGGGGCUCAACCCCGGGCCUGCAUUGGAAACUGUUUUGCUCGAGUGCCGGAGAGGUAAGCGGAAUUCCUAGUGUAGCGGUGAAAUGCGUAGAUAUUAGGAGGAACACCAGUGUCGAAGGCGGCUUACUGGACGGUAACUGACGUUGAGGCUCGAAAGCGUGGGGAGCAAACAGG